rnacentral:rRNA from 1 species
AGACGGAGGGCGCAAGCGUUGUUCGGAAUUACUGGGCGUAAAGGGCAGGUAGGUGGUCUGUUAAGUCUUCUGUGAAAAUCCGGGGCUCAACCCCGCGAAAUGCAGGUGAAACUGGCAGACUUGAGACCGGUAGAGGCUAGCGGAAUUCCUGGUGUAGCGGUGGAAUGCGUAGAUAUCAGGAAGAACACCUGUGGCGAAGGCGGCUAGCUGGGCCGGUUCUGACACUGAACUGCGAAAGCGUGGGGAGCAAACAGGAUUAGAUACCCCAGUAGUCC